GAGAUCUCAAUAUUUUCCCAUAAAGAAAACAAACAAAAAAGCUUAAAAAUCACCACACUAUGCUUUACCUGUGUCACUGAAAUCUAUAAAUUCCUUUGACAGAAGGUUAGUAAGAAGCUCCAUUAUGAGGAGUAGGUCUUGGUAUUGCUCUUCUU